rnacentral:lncRNA from 1 species
UAUAAGUGUCUAAUACUCAUCUUGGGGUAGGAAAUAAUAUAUAAAGUUUGGGAUGUGUUCUACAGAAACAUUGUGAUGUAUUAAACUGUACUAAAUUUUGUGGGGCCCAGACAUUGGCUUGAGUGUAGCAGCCAGCCUUACUAAUAACCUUAGGCAGGACACGAAGCUCUGUGCUCUUCCACUUUUGCAUCUGUAAAUUAAAGCCAUAAUGCCUGAAUUGUUUUGAUAACAGUGUGAUUGUGAGAACUAAAAUGAGAUAAUGUAUGUGGAUAAGGCUGGCCCUUGGAAACAUUAGCAUUUUUACUAAGUAAAAGCAAAGAAGGAAGUGUAGGAACUGGUCUAGUUUUGCUCUAUACAAGGUAACUUAGGCUCUUGGAUAGGCUUUUAUGAGCUAUCAAGGCAAAUGGACCCAGAAAUAUCCUCAAGGGAUAAAAGAAAUGUUUGGUUAGCAGGCCACAUGUAAGCAAUGAUUUUUUUUUUUUUUAAGUAAAAAGAAAAAAUGAAAAAUGCCAGGCCACAAGAUUAGCCCUCUUAGAGGCUCCUGGCAUCGUAACUGGGGAUCAUGGAUAUGUUAAAUAAUCAUGUUCGCUUCCCUUGAUUAGAUGGAAGCAUUAAGUCAUCUGAAACUAAAACUGAGUCACAGACAAACUUACGGGAAGAAACCCAAAGUCUGAGUGGUAAACGAAAUGGUGAAAAAAAUGUGUAUGGAUUCUAUGUUUCCGUAUGUCCAUGUUAGCAAGACUUCCCCUAGUGAAUCAUGACCCAUUUCUGUUUUUAGAGUUCAGGUGACUGCCUUACCUUGGGCCCCUCUGUUUGAAUGUGAUCAUUUGGACAAACUCUAGACUCUAUAUGCCAUUAAAGUUUUCAUGAGGAAUUUUUUAAAAAAUCAAACAUCAUAUUUAACCCUCCAAGAAAGAAAAGAAAAGCAAUGUGAGUAGCCAAGUUAUCUAGCUACAGAUAACUCAUUUGUUUGGGUUUUAAACACACUGAAUUGUUUGCAAACCUAUCUGCCCUCAUGUGUGUGUGUAACAAAAUAUUCUUUGUCAGGACUUUAGUUGUGGUGAGAGCCUGGUGAGCAUAAUUUCCUAAGGUCUCUUUUGUUAACACAGUUUUGGAACUCAUCUUUUAGAAAUGACCCCCUAUUCUGCAAACUACAAAACAGAAUUCGUGUCAUAAACUCUAUGCUUCAGUUGAAACACUCACCAUAUUCACUCACUUAUGUUAAACCCAUCUUUACCAAAUUAAAUUACUCCAUUCUGAAAACCACCAGUGGCUUUCCAUUUACUCACAAAGCUUUGUUUCCCAGAAGGGUCCUAGAUCAUUCUUACGUCUUCAGGUAGCUUACCCCUUUUCUUCAUGUCACCACCUCAGGAAGACAUGCCCAGACCCAUCCAGUCCCUCACGUCAUUCUCUCUUCUUGGCAGGUAACACCAUCAGAAAUAUUACUUGUUCUACUUUUAGUUCUAUAAGGAAUUGCCAAACUGUUUUCCGCAGUGGCUGUACUAGUUUACAUUCCCACCAGCAGUAACGUGUUCCCUGUUCGCCGUCUCCACACCAAUAUCUACUGUUUUUUAUUUUUUGAUUAUGGCCAUUCUUGCAAGAGUAAGGUGGUAUCACAUUGUGGUUUGAUUUGCAUUUCCCUGAUCAUUAGUGAUGUUGAGCAUUUUUUCAUAUGUUUGUUGACCAUUUGUAUAUCUUAUUUUCAGAAUUGUCUAUUUAUGUCCUUAGCCAACUUUUUGAUGGGAUUGUUUCUUUCUUUCUUACUGAUUUGUUUGAUUCAGCAAUCCCACUAUUGGGUAUCUACCCAGAAGAAAAUAAGUCAUUAUUCAAAAAAGAUACUUGCACAUGCAUGUUUAUAGCAGCACAAUUCGCAAUUGCAAAAUUGUGGAACCAACCCAAAUACCCAUCAGUCAACGAGUGGAUAAAGAAACCAUGGUAUGUAUAUACCAUGGAAUACUACACAGCCAUAAAAAGAAUGAAUUAACAGCAUUCGUGGUGACCUGGGUGAGAUUGGAGACUAUUAUUCUAAGUGAUGUAACUCAGGAAUAGGAAGCCAAAUAUCAUAUAUUCUCACUGAUAUGUGGGAGCUAAGCUAUAAGGACACAAAGGCAUAAGAAUGAUACGAUGGACUUUAGGGACUUGGGGGGAAGAGUGGGAGGGGGACGAGGGAUAAAAGACUACAAAUAUGGUACACUGUACACUGCUUGGGUGAUGGGUGCACCAAAAUCUCACAAAUCACCAAUAAAGAAGUUACUCAUGUAACCAAAUGCCACCUGUACCCCAAUAAGUUAUGGAAAAAAAGAAAUAUAAUUUGUUUGCUUGUUUAUAAGUUCUGAAAAGGCAGAGAUACUGUGUGUUAUGUUUGCCCUAUAUCCUCACUGCCUAUAGCAGUAACUAACAAGAAGUAGGGACGAAACAAAUGUUGAAUAAAUGCCAUUGAGUAUAAGCAAAAUAAUAUGAUCAUCUCUAUAAAGAUAACUUCACAUGACACAUUUAGAAGGCUGUGGAUAAGAAUAGCAUCAUUAGAAUUAUUGUGUUCCCAGUCAUGAUAGUUACUUUAAAGCAGACACUAGUUAUUUGGAAAUAUCCAUUGGCCAAAAGAAAAAAAAAGGCAUUUUUGUUUAAAAAUGCAACACGUUCUAUAUUCAGCUUGACUCUCUCUUCUUAUGCUUUUCUAAGCCUUUUAGCAAGAGAUAUUUAACACCUGGCUAAAGUUUUGUCCUCUGAUAAAAAUCUAGGAAUAAUUUUUCUCCUCACUCAAUUGCUCUGCAGUUCCUGCUUUCAGAAGGGGUUAGGAGGUUAGGGAUGGAGCAAGCGUUAGGAAUAGAGCAGGGGGUUAGGAGGUUAGGAAUGGAGCGAGUGUCUCAGAAGUCAACACAGGAAGCUUGGGAGCUGUUAAUUGGCCUUGUUUCUAUCUCAUAACAAUCGGUUGCUGGUAAAUGAGGGUACCAGUUGAGGGGAUGGGAGUCAAUUAUAUUGUUUUAGGCAUUUGUUACAAGGAGAAAACCACCUAAGACCUUAGGUGGCCAAAUAUGUAACCUGGGUCCUUCUCAAUAUUUCUGGAAGCGAUGAGCAAUGAUUGCAGUAGCAGUUUGGUUUGUGUUUGUUUAUUUGCUUGUAAUCUUUGCUGUUGCUGUUGCUUCUGCACCAGGAAUGGUGCAUUGGUGCAAGAUGGCAGAGUCUGCUUUAUAAGGCAGAAACUUUGUUAUUUAAUAUAUUAGAGGCUUUGGCCCUUAGGUUUAUGGACAGGAGUAAUUAAUGACUUUGUUCCUUUCUUGGUUGGAAAGCCUUUUUCAAAUUGGUAAAUACUUAAAACACCAAUAACAACAAAAACUCAGUGGCAAGUUGUUGGCAAUGGACAGAGAAACUUAGGCACACAGGAACUCUAUCAAGACUAACUUAGCUGAUUUAGCAGAAGUGAACAGAACUGAAAUGUAAAUCUGUUCAGGGUGGGAUGCCAAUGAGAAGUAAGCCAAUUCUUGAGUUGAAAGAUGGGACAUAAAAUUGUUUAUAUGGUAUGAUUGCAAUGUUGCUUCACAUGCAUGUUCUUUCUUGCUUACAUACACACAACAUAAAUCAUAAAUAUACAUAUAUUGCAGACACAACACUAAAAGAAACACAUCAGAAUGUAAAGACCAGUUACUUCUGGGGAGUUGGAUUCUGAGUGAUUUUGUUUUCUUUAUUCUCUGUUCUCCCAUUUUCCUUGCCAAGCUUCCGCAUUCGGUCUCUUCAUAUCCAGCUCUGCUACCAAAGAAACUCUGAUGCUUCUCCAGCCCAAGUCAGCCAAGUCCUGAAGUAUCCAAGUUAACCUCUGACUUCCUGGGCUCAGAAAUGUUUUGUUGCUUCUGUUUGUUCUCCGUCCCUGGGUCCACGCUCACGGGAUUAAAUUGUUCUUCACAUUAAACUCCACUUAAUAGUUUCCUUGUCUAGCACUCAGGUAGUUUUAAAACGUGGCCAAAAAUUAUUUGACACUACUCCUAGCGAGAGAUGGGGUCUUUGUCCCCUCCCCUUGAAUAUGGGUAGUCUUGUGAUUGUGAAUGUUUCAACCAGGUGAGUGUGGUGGGAAUGACACUGUGUGGCUUAUGAAGCUGGGACAUGAGGGGAAGUGCAGUUUCGAGUUUGUUUCUGGAACACUCACUCUUGGAGUUCUAAGCCACCAUAUAAAGUCUGACUACCUUGAAGCUGUCUGCUGUGAAUUAGCUCAGGCUCCCUGGAGAGACUGUGCAUAGGCACUGAGCCCAACAGUGAGUGAAUGAGCCUUCAGAUGAUUCCAGCUCUUUCAGUUUUCUCUCAGCCUUUGAAUCUUCCUGGCUGACACCACAGACAAGGAGAAGCAGGGUGAAGCUGUUUUUACUGUGCAUUUUCUGAAUUUCUGAGGCCAGAAUCUGUGAGCUUAAUAAAAUGGUGGUUGUAAGUGGCACUGCCAGAUUUUGGGGUGAUUUGUUACACAGCAAUUGUAACCAGAACAGGAAAUUUGAAUCCAACUUGCGCCAGACUUCUUACAAAGGACUGAAGUCAGCUGUUUUCUUUCUAUGGCCCAGGAGCUAAAUGCAACUAUUCUCCCAUGCUAACAUCAUGCUCUUCCCAAAUGUUCCAUUAACUCAAGCAGCCUGAAAGAGAAACUCUGCUUCCUAUCACAAAUAUGUCCGAGGAGCCCCUAUACAUAGUUAGAGAUUUCUCUUAAUAAGUCAUAUCCUUCCCUUAGUAAGUCAUAUCCUUCACCUGUGAAACUUCUGGAUCCUGGGAUUAAAUGACUCAAUUUGCUUUGCUUUCCACGUUCUAGAAAUUGUCUCACUUCCUAAAAAGCAUGAAUGAAGUUGUCUUCUGGUCCAAUUUGGAUUUAGCUGAAGAUUCUAACCUGAACGUUUUCUUCAGUCAGGACCUAAGGACACAUUUACCCUGAAUGUCAGAUCCCAGAAGAGAGGACAAAGUAAAGAAAGUUACUGGAGGAUGUGUUCCACCAAAACAAUGGAAUGAAUCACAGGAAUGAGGAUCUAAUAAAGGAGAGAAGUUAAGGGAUUCCAAUGAUUACAAUGAUGAGAAAUCCCAUGGGAAUUUCAGCUCCAUCAAUCCAGGUAGGAGAAGGAUGAAGGUUUCCUCUAAGAGAGUCAUCUCCAAGACAAAAGACAAAGAAAUUGCUGGAUGUGACUGACCCCAUUGGUUGAAGUUUUACAGCUUAUCCCAAAGAAUUAAAAUGUAGUGGUGGCACAUAGAAAACUAAGCAACUGAAUAAAGAAUUUAAUGAUAGUUUAGUACACAGUAAAUAAAUUUAAAAGGCAAUUAUUAAUUCCAGGAAAAGCAGAAAACAUACAAGAAAGGAAACUGAAUUAUGGUAGAUUACUUAGCUUAACAAUAAAUAUUAUUUAUACAACCACAAUCAUGCAAACACUAUUAAUCUAACUAAAAUUGUGACACACAUGCAGAGGAUUGGCGAUGGUAUGUUUGUGAGUGUGAAUGUGUGUAUGUAUGUGUGUGUGUGUUGGGGGGGGGAGAGAGACAGAGAGAGAGAGAUAGAGAAACAGAAAGACAGAGAGAGAAAAGAGACUUCUGCCAAUCUACCAUCUUCCUUGGUAGGCAGUCAACUAAUAGGUAAUGGACUAUGUUGGUUACCCAACCAUUCAUAAUUCUUGCUCAUGGGGCCUAAAUUUUGUUUAAGUUUCCAAAUCAAACUGUCUCCUGUGUGAUUCAGAGAGAGCUGACAUCAUCUACAGCUCUAGGGAUAGAUAUGAAGCUAAACAUGAAUGGCAAUCAUUUUCCUCUGGCACGAUUGGUUUAAAAAUGGCCACAUGACCUAAUUCUGGCCAGUGACACAAGGGGAUGUCUUCUAGGCAGUUUCUGGGUAAAGACAGAAAUAUCAGCACUUCUUUUUCUUUUUCUGGGUAACUUCCUGUCAACAUAAUGCCCAGGACUUCUGCAAACAUGUUGUUACCAGUACAAGAACCAUAGGAGGGCAGGCCAAUAACAUCAGAGAGAAAGAGAGGCAGAGACCUAAUAGACUGUGCCUGGGGACUUCCCUGUCUCUGGACAACUUCAUAUGUGCAAUAAUAAGUUUUAUUUAAUUUCAGCCAAAUCAAGAGGCUAAGAAACAGCCCAGGGUUUCAUAGAUGAUAAGUGGCAAAAUCAGGAUUGGAACCCAGAUUGGCCUGAGUCAAAGACUUGAGGUCAACAUAAUUUCAUACUGUCAUUGUUGAGCAGUCUUUAAAGCAUCCUCUUAAAAAUGGAAAUCAAAUUUGUGAUAGAGAAAGAAAUUAGUGCGUGUGAAAGUGAGGGGAUGUGCCCUAUUGUCAACAAUAAAGACUACAAAUAAACUCUAGUAACUUACCUUCUAUUGUUUUAUUCUCACAAUAAAAGUGGUAUUUUUGGUUUUAGGUGGCUGCAAUGUCAAAAUUGAUUAGUUUCUUGACUAUGAAAUAAUUAUGUAACUUUAAUUACUUAAUUAUAGACCAUUGUCAAAUACACCUUAGCGAUAUCAACAACAAAUGACAACAAACUAUUACCUUAAAAAGAUAAUUCAAAUUAUUAUUUUAUCUGGGACACUAUAAUAUAUUCAAAAUAAUCCAGUUUCCCAAAUUCAGAAAAUUUAUUUUUUCUUUAAUAUGUUUUAAUUUUGAUAUAUUACAGACUAAAUCAAGUUAUAACAAUUUAAUUUAUUAUUUAGCAGAGUGAUUUGCUUUUGUAUGUAGGUAUUCAAAGAGAAAGCAGGAUCUAAUUCAUUUUGAAAGCUGAAAGACAAAGAGCAGUGUCUGGAAUGUGGUCCCUGCACUAAAACUAUUUGUUGAAUGAAAAACUGUGCAUCUACUUUAAGAAAAUCAUAAGUGGAAUAAAGAUAAAAUGAGAUUUUUGACUUUUGGGAUUGAUUUUGGCCAAAUUUGCUGUGUGGCUACUAAUUGUAUCAUUUAUUUAUUUUGAUUUAGG